UACGGGGGGGGCAAGCGUUGUUCGGAAUUACUGGGCGUAAAGGGCGCGUAGGCGGCCUUCUAAGUCGAACGUGAAAUCCCCGGGCUCAACCCGGGAACUGCGUCCGAUACUGGAAGGCUUGAAUCCGGGAGAGGGAUGUGGAAUUCCAGGUGUAGCGGUGAAAUGCGUAGAUAUCUGGAGGAACACCGGUGGCGAAGGCGACAUCCUGGACCGGUAUUGACGCUGAGGCGCGAAAGCCAGGGGAGCAAACAGG
rnacentral:rRNA from 1 species